rnacentral:rRNA from 1 species
GUGGGGAAUAUUGCGCAAUGGGCGAAAGCCUGACGCAGCGACGCCGCGUGGGGGAUGAAGCAUUUCGGUGUGUAAACCCCUGUUGCUCGGGACGAAAAACUGGUUUUGACCAGUCUGACGGUACCGAGUGAGGAAGCACCGGCUAACUCCGUGCCAGCAGCCGCGGUAAUACGGAGGGUGCGAGCGUUGUCCGGAAUCACUGGGCGUAAAGGGCGCGUAGGCGGUCUGCUAAGCGUGCGGUGAAAGCCUGGGGCUCAACCCCAGGUCUGCCGUGCGAACUGGUGGACUUGAGCACUGUAGAGGCAGGUGGAAUUCCGGGUGUAGCGGUGGAAUGCGUAGAGAUCCGGAAGAACACCAGUGGCGAAGGCGGCCUGCUGGGCAGUUGCUGACGCUGAUGCGCGACAGCGUGGGGAGCAAACAGGAUUAGAUACCCUAGUAGUCC